UCUCUUCUCUUUGUCUAUGAGUCUUUUUCUGUCUUGUAUAUAGGUUUUUUUGUGACACAUUUUAGAUUCCACAUAUAAAUGACAUCAUAUGGUUUUUGUAUUUCUCUUUUUGUCUUACUGCACUUAUUAUGAGAAUCUCUAGUUGCAUCCAAGUUGCUGCAAAUGACAGUAUUUGUCCUUUUUAUGGCUAAGUAGUAUUCCAUCAUAUAUGUGUUCCACAUCUUCUUAACCCAUUCAUCUGUUGCUGGACAUUUAGGCUAUUUCCAUGUUCUGGCUAUUGCAAACAGUGCUGUGAUGAACGUAGGGAUGCAUGUAUCUUUUUGAAUGAAUGUUCUGUCCAGAUAUAUGCCCAGGAGUGAUAUUGCUGGAUCAUAUGCUAGUUCUGUAUUUUGUUUUCUGAGGUACUUCCCUACUGUUUUUCAUAAUUGUUGCACAAAUCUACAUUCCCACCAACAGUGAAGGAGGGUUCCCUUCUUUCUAUACCCUCUCUAAUAUUUCUUAUUUGUUGACUUGUUAAUGAUAGCCAUUCUGACCAGUGUGAGGGACCUCAUUGUAGUUUCAAUUUUUAUUUCUCUAAUAAUUAUUGAUGUUGAACAUUUUCUCAUGUAUUUAUUGUCAAUAAAUAUUAGGAAAGUCAAGCUGUAUUUGUCUUCGAGCCUCCAGAAUAUAUUCAGUGUUGCUCUUAUACUACACCAUAGCAUCUACAACCACCAUGACUUCCAUCCAUAUCACUCAAUCAUCACCCAACUUCUGACUUUUUACGUUUAAACUAAACUACUGUAGUGUUGACACCAGUGGCUCCUAACUACUAUUCCAGCAUUUCCAUCUCCUCUUAUUUAGACAUGAACACCAAUGCCAGACUAAGUCUGAAAGCUCAGCUUUGUUUCUCCCUAGGUCAAGAACUUUCAAUUGUUCUCCAUUACCUACUUUAAAACUGAAGCUGUGCAAUAAAAAUAUAAUUAUCCAAACUAUGAUUACAUCUUGGUUAAAAAUAAUGAAAUAGUUGAACCAGAUUUAUCUUUGAUAAGAAGCCAUGAAAGUACCAUUUUGAUUGACUGAAGGUUUUUUGUUUUUUGGUUUUUUUUUUUUUGGCCUUUUGUCUUUUUAGGGCCGCACCUGCAACAUAUGUAGGUUUCCAGGCUAGGGGUCAAAUCAGAGCUGUGGUCACUGGCCUAUGCCAGAGCCACAGAAACACCAGAUCUGAGCCACAUCUGCAACCUACACUACAGCUCCCGGCAAUGCCGGAUCCUUAACUUACUAAGCAAGGUGAGGGAUUAAACCUGCAACCUCAUGGUUCCUAGUCGGAUUUGCUUCCCCUGUGCCACAACAGGAACUCCUGACUGAAGUAUUUUACACACAUCAAGCAAUAAGUAUACAAGUGUGGGGUCAUAUGGAAGUUCUAUGUAUAGAUUUCUAAGGUAUCUCCAAACUGUUCUCCAUAGUGGCUGUACCAGUUUACAUUCCCACCAAUAGUGCAGGAGGGUUCCCUUUUCUCCACAGCCCCUCCAGCACUGGUUAUUUGUGGAUUUAUUAAUGAUGGCCAUUCCGACUGGUGUGAGGUGGUUUCUCAUGGUAGUUUUGAUUUGCAUUUCUCUUAUAAUCAACAACGUUAAGCAUUUUUUCAUGUGCUUGCUGGCCAUCUGUAUAUAUUCCUUGGAGAAAUGUCUAUUCAGGUCUUUUGCCCAUUUUUCCAUUGAUUGAUUGGCUUUUUCGGUGUUGGGUUGUAUAAGUUGCUUAUAUAUUCUAGAGAUUAAGCCCUUGUCCGUUGCAUCAUUUGAAACUAUUUUCUCCCAUUCUGUAAGUUGUCUUUUUGUUUUCUUUUUGGUUUCCUUUGCUGUGCAAAAGCUUUUCAGUUGAUUAGGUCCCAUGGGUUUAUUUUUGCUCUAGUUUCUAUUGCUUUGGGAGACUGACCUGAGAAAAUAUGCGUGAUGUUGAUGUCAGAGAGUGUUUUGCCUAUGUUCUCUUCUAGGAGUUUGAUGGUGUCCUGUCAUAUAUUUAAGUCUUUCAGACAUUUUGAGUUUAUUUUUGUGCAUGGUGUGAGGGUGUGUUCAAGUUUCAUUGCUUUGCAGGCAGCUGUCCAGGUUUCCCAGCAAUGCUUGCUGAAUUGACUUUCCUUUUCCCAUUUUAUGUUCUUGCCUCCCUUGUCAAAGAUUAAUUGACCACAGGUGUCAGGGUUUAUUUCUGGGUUCUCUAUUCUGUUCCAUUGGUCUGUCUGUCUGUUUUGAUACCAGUACCAUAUGACCCUACAAUCCCACUCUUGGGCAUCUAUCCAGACAAAACUCUACUUAAAAGAGACACGUGCACCCGCAUGUUCAUUGCAGCACUAUUCACAAGAGCCAGGACAUGGAAACAACCCAAAUGUCCAUCGACAGAUGAUUGGAUUCGGAAGAUGUGGUAUAUAUACACAAUGGAAUACUACUCAGCCAUAAAAAAGAAUAACAUAAUGCCAUUUGCAGCAACAUGGAUGGAACUAGAGAAUCUCAUACUGAGUGAAAUGAGCCAGAAAGACAAAGACAGAUACCAUAUGAUAUCACUUAUAACUGGAAUCUAAUAUCCAGCACAAAUGAACAUCUCCUCAGAAAAGAAAAUCAUGGACUUGGAGAAGAGACUUGUGGCUGUUUGAUGGGAGGAGGAGGGAGUGGGAGGGAUCGGGAGCUUGGGCUUAUCAGACACAACUUAGAAUAGAUUUACAAGGAGAUCCUGCUGAGUAGCAUUGAGAACUUUGUCUAGAUACUCAUGUUGCAACAGAACAAAGGGGAAAAAAUGUAAUGUAUACAUGUAAGGAUAACUUGAUCCCCUUGCUCUACAGUGGGAAAAUAAAAUUUAAAAAAGAAGUAUACAAGUGUGUUUGUGUGUGAAAAAUAAACAUAUAUGAUUCUACAUUGACACAUACUAUUUAUAUUUAAUGAAAGGAGGGGAAAUAACAUUAUUCUAUAAUAUAAGAGGGUUCUUUAAUUAGUAGAAAGCAUCAAACUAUCAAAAAAAAAGUCCUUAAACUCUUCAAAUAAAGGAGUGCUUUCACACACAAACAAUGACUUGUACCACCACAAUUACGCCAUUUUUUUCUUUGACAAGUCCUCAAAGAGAUGGAAGAGACCACUAGGCAACGAAUUUCUGAUGAAGCAAAAUUAAGAUUAUGCCAUUUGAAACUUUAAUUUCACUUUCCUUUGAAACUUCUUAGCUCUCUAUAUCUUGUUUAGAAUCUUUUCAAUAUACUAUAUAAUACUUUAAACUAGUGGUCUAAAUAAAUUUGGUAAGAAAAUGUAUGCUACAUGAUGUAGCAUUUUGAAAAAGAACCAAGGCAAAGAGAAAAUUAUUAUAUGAAUUGAUGCUAGAAGUAAACCAUGGAAAUUUUACAAAUGUCUAUGACAUUAAAAAAGAGACAUCAAAUUAUAUUCAGGGGUAUCCUUGUACCAGGAGGCUCUCCAUCUCAAAGAAAGUCUGAUUAUACACAAUAAAAAUUCCAGUAGAAGCUUUUAAGUAUUAAAGCCUGAUUAAUCUGACUGUGUUUUUGAGACCCUAUGUAAAGAUUAAGAAGCAGAAAGAGGACCAGACAAUCCGUGACUUAUAUGAUCAGUGCUCAGUUUGCAUGCCCUGAAAUGCUCAGUUUCAGAACCAAGUGGCCAUGUCUGAGUGGUCUUUCAUCUCCUCAAACACUGCCACAGCUGGAAAUUUCUGAAUACAUCAAAAGAGUGGAAAUAGAACUCAGAAAUGUGUCCUAGAAAAUCCCACAAUGUAACAGUACAUGCAUUAUUGGAAGAGAAGUUUACCCUAAUUUGGGGUAUGAACUAUCUUAUCAAUGACCCACUUAUAGGAAAAUAGUGCUGCCUCUGGGAUUUCUUAAAUCAUAAAUUCUCUAAACAAUGUAGAAUAUAACACACAAUAGAGAAGAAAGGGAACACUGUGUUUUUAGGGGAAAGUCUUCUUAUAAAUUUCAUCUAUCUUAACAGUAAGAAUUUUAUAUCAAAACUAUUAUAAUAUGGAAAAUUAAACUGUUAACUCUCCCUAAGAACUAAGGAAAAGAGUUAUUUGUCCAAGCAGGUUCCUAUGAGAGAAGGGGAUAUUUUUCUUAAUUAAAACAACCCCAUUUGUUGUCAACUGGUAAUAACACAGAAUGAUCAAAACAAUAUGAAUACAUGAUUUAGAACUACACUUCCAGCAAAGGAUACCUGAAAAAACUGUAUUGCUUUCUCAACAAUUUCUCACUUCAUUGAUCAUUUCUAGUUGGAGACACUUUGGACAGAGUAAUAGUAUACCCUUUUAGCAUGGUCUGACACAGUUAUUUUACUUUAGAAUCGAUCUCUUCUGCAUCGUCUAAUACAAGGUUCAUAUAUGCAUCAAAACCAAUGAUUUGCCCCUCUACUGCAUGUUCACUUGCUCAUAAAGCCACACCUAAAUCUGAUAUCUAUUUUGUAAGUAUCUGAAGAUGAGGUUGAUGGGCUGCACCAUCACCUUCUGCACUUUCUGGUCCUGGACAUGGAAUUUCAUAGUGGAAGCUCACAAAGACCACAUGAGAAAAGGAAUUUUAUCACUUGAAAAUGUUUCAGAAACAUUUGGAAAUGUUUUCAUGAUAAAUGAAGUAAACAGCUCCCUUUGAUAGAAACUUUUGAGUCAGACAAUAUUUGAAUUAUUAAAAAAAAAAAAAACUGCUCCAGGGAAUUUCCCAAGUAAAUGCUCUUUAGGAUUUGAAAAUCAGGUUACAAUCCUUGAAACAUAUGUCUAAUUUUUUAUAUUACAGACCAUAUUUUAAAUUGUAAAUCUGCGUGAGAAUAAGUUGGUAAUUACUUUGCACUUUCCUUUCACUUCCCUCUUAUCCCACUGUGAGAACCAUUUGAGUUCUUUAGAGGAAUGUUAAAAGUUAAGGGAAGCAGAGUUUGGGGUUCCCAUCGUGGCUCGGUGGUUAACGAAUCCGACUAGGAACCAUGAGGUUGUGGGUUCGGUCCCUGGCCUUGCUCAGUGGGUUAAGGAUCCAGCAUUGCUGUGAGCUGUGGUGUAGGUUGCAGACGCGGCUCGGAUCCCAUGUUGCUGUGGCUCUGGCAUAGGCCAGUGGCUACAGCUCUGAUUCGACCCCUAGCCUGGGAACCUCCAAAUGCCACGGGAGCGGCCCAAGAAAUG
rnacentral:lncRNA from 1 species